UACGGAGGAUUCAAGCGUUAUCCGGAUUUAUUGGGUUUAAAGGGUGCGUAGGCGGUUUGAUAAGUUAGAGGUGAAAUACCGGUGCUUAACACCGGAACUGCCUCUAAUACUGUUGAGCUAGAGAACAGACGAGGUAGGCGGAAUAAGUUAAGUAGCGGUGAAAUGCAUAGAUAUAACUUAGAACACCGAUAGCGAAGGCAGCUUACCAGACUGAGUCUGACGCUGAUGCACGAGAGCAUGGGUAGCGAACAGG
rnacentral:rRNA from 1 species